rnacentral:rRNA from 1 species
GAUGAACGCUGGCGGCGAGCCUAAUACAUGCAAGUCGAGCGAACGGACGAGAAGCUUGCUUUUCUGAUGUUAGCGGCGGACGGGUGAGUAACACGUGGAUAACCUACCUAUAAGACUGGGAUAACUUCGGGAAACCGGAGCUAAUACCGGAUAAUAUUUUGAACCGCAUGGUUCAAAAGUGAAAGACGGUCUUGCUGUCACUUAUAGAUGGAUCCGCGCUGCAUUAGCUAGUUGGUAAGGUAACGGCUUACCAAGGCAACGAUGCAUAGCCGACCUGAGAGGGUGAUCGGCCACACUGGAACUGAGACACGGUCCAGACUCCUACGGGAGGCAGCAGUAGGGAAUCUUCCGCAAUGGGCGAAAGCCUGACGGAGCAACGCCGCGUGAGUGAUGAAGGUCUUCGGAUCGUAAAACUCUGUUAUUAGGGAAGAACAUAUGUGUAAGUAACUGUGCACAUCUUGACGGUACCUAAUCAGAAAGCCACGGCUAACUACGUG